GCCUGCCGCGUGUAUGAAGAAGGCCUUCGGGUUGUAAAGUACUUUCGCGGGGAGGAAGGGAGUAAAGUUAAUACCUUUGCUCAUUGACGUUACCCGCAAAAAAAGCACCGGCUAACUCCGUGCCAGCAGCCGCGGUAAUACGGAGGGUGCAAGCGUUAAUCGGAAUUACUGGGCGUAAAGCGCACGCAGGCGGUUUGUUAAGUCAAAUGUGAAAUCCCCGGGCUCAACCUGGGAACUGCAUCUGAUACUGGCAAGCUUGAGUCUCGUAAAGGGGGGUAGAAUUCCAGGUGUAGCGGUGAAAUGCGUAAAGAUCUGGAGGAAUACCGGUGGCGAAGGCGGCCCCCUGGACGAAGACUGACGCUCAGGUGCGAAAGCGUGGGGAGCAAACAGGAUUAAAUACCCUGGUAGUCCACGCCGUAAACGAUGUCGACUUGGAGGUUGUGCCCUUGAGGCGUGGCUUCCGGAGC
rnacentral:rRNA from 1 species